rnacentral:hammerhead_ribozyme from 1 species
AUUUAGCUGACGAAUCCCGAAUAGGACGAAAUGCGCGUCAAACUAGAU